UACGAAGGGGGCUAGCGUUGCUCGGAAUCACUGGGCGUAAAGCGCACGUAGGCGGCUUGUUAAGUCAGGGGUGAAAUCCUGGAGCUCAACUCCAGAACUGCCUUUGAUACUGGCGAGCUUGAGUUCGGGAGAGGAGCGUGGAAUUCCCAGUGUAGAGGUGAAAUUCGUAGAUAUUGGGAAGAACACCGGUGGCGAAGGCGGCGCUCUGGACCGAGACUGACGCUGAGGCGCGAAAGCGUGGGGAGCAAACAGG
rnacentral:rRNA from 1 species